AGUUUAAAGGAAAUAAUUUUAAAUGAAUCCUGCCCAGUGAAUAAUUUUAAAUGGCCGCAGUACCUUGACUGUGCUAAGGUAGCAUAAUCAAUUGGCUUUUAAUUAGAGUCUGGAAUGAAUGGAAGAAUGAAUUAAAGCUGUCUUAAAUUUAUUUUUAUAAAAUUAUUUAUAAGGUGAAAAUACCUUAAUUUUUAGAAAAAAGACGAGAAGACCCUUAGAGUUUUUAAUAUAAAAAUAAUUAAUAAUUUUAAUUUUUUUGUUGGGGCGACAAGUAAACAUUUUAAACUUUACGUUUUUAUAUUACGAUUUUAUUAAAAUAAAUAAAACUACCUUAGGGAUAACAGCAUUAUUUAUUAAUAAGAUUGUGACCUCGAUGUUGGACUAGGAACUUUAUGGCUAGCCGUCAAAAAAGAUUUGUUCUGUUCGAACAAUACUAUC
rnacentral:rRNA from 1 species